UUUCUGUAGCUUCACAAACAUUUGUUAGAUAUUUAAUUAACUUCAUAUUUGGUUUUGCAGGCCAGAUCCCACAUUAGCAACUUCAGUUACUAAAUAUGUAAAAUCCGAACAGUUAUUACUCUUUUUAGUCAGCAAAAUUGUUAGCUGUGUUCUCUUGAUGUUGGUUUAUGGAGGUCCCAUAAACCUUCAUACAAGCAUUCAAUGUCCUGCCAGUUUUGUUUUCUAUUUUGGUUGAAAGAUUCAGACAAAGAAAAGGGAUUAUCUUCCUUAUUCUACAAGAAUUAUUGAUGUAAUGUUCAGUAUUGAUACCAUCCUCAGCCGUAUGAAGGCUGUGAGCACUCACAGAAAUCUUAUUAGUGCUUAUUUUCUUUUUUUUUUUCAUAACGGGUUACUCAGUUCUACUUCUGAAUCUUUAAGAGAUAGUUUGUAGGUUUUGUUCCUUUUUUAGCUCUAUCUCUAUGAUUCAUGGAAUAAUAAUGUCAACUUUCAAAAAUACAGGAAUUCAUUACAGAUUAACUCUCAACUAUCAGGUCCAAAUGGGGGAAAGGUGAACAAUUAAUGUUGCCUUACUUGGAGAAAUAGCUAAAGAUCUGCACCUGUAGAGAGGGUUAGAAAUGCACAACUCUUGCCAGUAAAAACCAUGGCCUUUAAUUUAUUAAAAAUAAAGGGUUUUUUUAUUUACUGCAUGCUAUGACUUUUUGGUAGCUCUUUAGUUUGUAGUUUGUUUCUGCAGCUGAAGGAACACUGUUCUUGUCUUUGCUUUCAAUGCAUGUAUAACAGGAUACUAAAAUAUCUUUGUCCCUCACCAUCCACUGCUCUCUGCACUUGAACUUCAAGCAACAUGACUGCUCUGAAGAAACCAAAAACUUACUUCAGUCAAAGAAACAACAGUCCUUUCGCAUUUCCCAGGCUUCAGCACAGAACAUAAUGUGACUUACUUGGUCACACAAAAUUUCACAACAUGGAUCCAGGAGUCCAAGAGAUGUCAAUGUUUCAAUAAAAAAGCUGGGCAGUUCCCGAAUGAAACCUGAGCUUUCCCAUCCUUCUUGCCUCAAACAGAAAAGGAUAAGUUAUAUCUUCUUAUGACAAUGCAAGUUAUCUGUGACAUUUACAUGAUCUCUUAAUACACUAUAAACUACUUGGUGUAUCAUAUAAAAUGCUUAUAUUUCUUAUUAUUUCCUCUUUCAUUUUCACUUAUUGUAAUAUAAAGAUUCAGUCACCUAAAUGUUGAGCUUAAUCCAAAUUCAAAUUAAAUCUCUUAAACAGUUGGUACACCCCCUAAUUAAGGAUAGCAUAAUCCCUUCUGCUAUGGUAGGCAACUGUAGAUAAUAACUAGAAAUACUGCAUUUCUCAAAGCUCUGCUUUUAUGGUUCUAGUGUGUUUUGCAAACCCUUAGUAGGGUCAAUCUCAUUUAUGAGGUCCUUUAACUGCAUUUUCCUCAUACCUUUUAAGCUUCGUACUUUAUGUAGUACACAGUAAGUCAGCAUCAUGUAAGCCACUAGAAAUAUUUGAACUGGGUCAUAAGAGGCUCCGUCUAAAUUGUUUAGCUUUUACUUAUCUUAUAAACCUGUCUUUUCUCUAGCACGAAGUCUAGGGUCCUUUCUUUUGAUGGUCACUUUUUACAUUUCAAAGUUUAAGCUGUUUUUUUCUUUUCUUUAUAUUUUAUAGUAUUCUCAGUGCUGCGAUUAGGAACAGAGGAACACAAUACCAACCCAUCUAGUUCACAUCCUAGAGUCUGUCUCCUCAAGUAUUUGUCUCCAAAAAUGACCAUAAGCAAAUAGAUCAAAAAAUAAUACAAGGCUUGAAUUAAUCUAUUCUCACUGUAACUAUGACCUGUGGGGUAACUAAAUUUUCUGCUUUAUUAACUGUAAUAGAUCGAACAAAUGGGAUUCAAAUGCCUAACUGUAAACAUUUAUGAAUAUGAACAUCAGAACUUAUCGCUUUAGUGCCCUUACAGUCAGUGGGGAGAAAUAGACGCUGCUAAAGUGCAAUUCAGUUUAUCCUAACGUCAGUAUCUAGAAUGCCUAAGGUGAAUUGUACUAAAACAACUAAAACAAAGCUAAUCUAUUUUAGUCUGUUGAGUCUAAAGGAAUCUUGGGUUGACUAGUUAAGACACAGACAGGAAGAAUUUAGUCAGGUGACUUUCACAAAAGAUUUCAAACUUUAUUUUUUAAUGAGUCCUCUGGAUCUGUUAUUAACACUGCAUUUUGUAAGACUUAAAUAUAAAUCAUUCUGCUAUGGAAAUCAGGAAAGGCUUUGAGUUUUCAGAGAGAAAAUCCAAUGAUUUUUUUGUAGGCAUCCUAUUUUAUUACAGCAUGUGUGGGGGAGUGUGCUGAUAUCCUUUUUCUUAUACUUUCACAAAAAUCUACAUUGUCCAGAAGUGCCCUGAAUCAAUAGACUUCCUCACUAAUUAGCAUCUUAUUUUCAUGCCUCCUUUGCAAAUAACAUGAACUUCCAAGGACAUCAGACUGCUUCAAGUCUUGCUUUCUUUGUCUGAGUUGGUCAUAGCUAUGACAGUCUGGUAGUUAAAAUAUUAGCUUGAAUCUCCAUAUCAACCCUUUCUCUACCCCUCUCAAGCCAAAGUCUGAACUGCAGGCUGUAGACAGCCAAGCUCACACAGGUGUAGCAUUGGCUAAACAAUUCCUCACAAGGAAUUUAUCUCUUGCAAAGAGUUUGCCUUGCAUAAAAAAGUACAGAUGAUUGAAAUUACCAGUUGUCAAAAAUCUGACAGGUCUGUUUGACAAGCAGGUCACACGUGUGAGCUGGCAUACCAACAUGUAUGCCAUGUUACAACAGCAACACGAGUUGGGUACCUUACAAAAAAAUUUACGGAAAUUCCUCCCCAGACAUUUUGAUAACAGAUUAAUUCUUUGCGAAUGCUGAUUUUGUGCCACCACAGUCUGAAGAUCCACGUCUCAGAGGGGAUUUGGCAUCUGAUGUCCAUGGGAGCUCAGCACUACCGAGUGUGAGCCCAAAUAUGUGGUCCAAAACUCUCAGCUUGACUGAAGUUCCUCCAAGUGAGACUGAAGAUGAAUAACAGCUCUGCUAUAGCUCCAGUGAUGCCAAGCCUUGGCAGGCUGAAUCCGCAUCUCAUCAGGAUGCAAACCAACCUCUACGGCUAAAGAGCUCCGUGAUGCAGCAGUCAGCCAGCAAUGCCCAAUAGCCGGCUAGAACCGCACUGUGCUAUAAAUCUUUCCAGUGAAACAAGAGGAGGGGAAGAGGCUUAUUUGGUACGUUAAUCCAUUUAAAAGAGAGGGGGGGAACCACUCUUUGCCCUUUGGAAUCAUAUCAAGAAUAUUUUAUAUUUGAAUUGUGGUAAUAUGCAGCAAUUUAAUAACUUUUAUUUUGGUAGACCACAUAAGUAUUCUCAGUGGAAUAAGUGGCAAAUACAGCAAGGACUUCUGAAAUGUGAGAUGGUCUUUUCCAGCCCAAAUGAUUCUAUGAUUCUAUGCUUUCAGGCUGCUGGUGGCUGCAGGGAGCAGUGGAAAAUCUAUGCAAACUCUUUCCAGCAUAAUUUUCCGAAUGCAGAGACCUGCAGAAAUACUUAAAUGUGAAUGCAGAAAAUUACAACUAAAUACAUAAAUUAAAAUAUUUCAUUAUUAGUACAUUGAUGUGUUGUAAUCUGGGUCACUAAAUGGGAUUAAUAGAGAAGAGAUCUAAUUCAACAUUUCUACAAUGUCAGUCACUGGAAACAGGUUGUUAGUUUAUAAACAGAAGCUAACAAUUUAUCUCACACAUGUAUGCUUGUAUGGACACUCAUACAGUGCAUUAAAUUUUCCUUAAAUGCUUCUGGCAAAUAAUAGUAUUUUAAUUGCAUGAGAACUUUAGAAAUACAAACACUUCAUUGUUUCCUAAAUCUGUCAGAUGUCUAAAUUGAAAUCUUUUAGGAAAUAAGUUAUUGACGUGUAGCUAAGGUUUUGGUGGAAAUAGCUGUGUGAGGUGACAGAUUUAAGGGGCAAUUAAACAGGUGUUCAUGAACCAUCAAAUAAAAUUAAAAAAGGUAAUAAAAUCAAAACAUAAGUUUUUGUCACACUUUAAAAAAGGAUGUCAUUGCAAAAUUAUUUGGAAAAAAAGACAUCCAAGGAAACUGGCUCUGGAAGCCCAGUGAGGUUCUUUUCCAGGUAUGUUAGUGGGAAUUCCUACACUUAAAUUUAGGUUACUUUUGUCAUAAAGCCCCACAUUAGUAUUUACUCUUGCUAAUUGCUUCUGUCUCAUUUCCUGCGUUGUGCAACAUCUGAUCAUGGGUUUAUCCUUAUUUAAUGAUGUCUGCCAAGUUGUGGGGAAGGCUCCUCUCCACUGCAAGCUUUGGUGGUAUCCCUAAGAAAAAUAAUAUGGGAAGCCUAUGAGUCCAAUAAGAAUGUUAAUAGGAAAUAGGAGAGUUUCAAAUAUUUCUGCAAACAGCUAAAAAUAGUGUUCUGCACUUUGGGAAAAUUAGCCAGUGAGUGAUAGUUCUGACGAGGUGAUGUAACUCAGCUUUCCGCCUCUUCAUUUUCACGCUAAUGUUCUUCUGGAACCAAGCAGAACUGGACUGCUCUUACCUCAAGUUUCUUGUGCAGUAUCAGUUUCCAUUCAUUCAGCUGAAAUACCUUCUUCCCUUGAGAAGAGCCAUUACUGUUCUUUUUUAGCUCAGACUCACAACUAUUAUGAGGAAUUGUUUGGAAUUUUAACAGUUAGAGUCCACAUGUGAGGAAAAACCAGUUCCCUCCAAACAAACUUGUAGUUCCCUGGAGAUUAUUCCCUAGAUCCAGAUUACUAACAGUGGGAGGAAGGCCAACACAAAAGCAUAAAAUAUAAUGGAAUGACUAAAACAAUGUGGCAUGGUUCUUCGAAUGAAUUUCCAUAACCCAGUAUUCAUGGAUGUUGAUUGUUUGUUGCACAAGUGUUAUAAGAUGUUAAUUAUUUCAUUUAUAAUUGUUGAAAAUAUUCAUUUAAGUUUCAGAAUAAAUGUGUUUAUGCCUUUUUGGUUUGUUUCUGACUUCUACUGUCAGAAUUAAUUUAUUCAUGUAUGUGUACUCUCAUAUUUAUUCCAAGCAUAGAUAUUCAAACUUCUGUACCAUGAACAGGACCUUCUACCACAUACACCAGGAAAGAUCUGUAACUGGUUGAACUGCAGCUAUUAUAGAAAAUAAAAUUGCACACUAUAAUGAAAUAUGCAUGUAAAUAAUAUACAUAGUCGAAUACUCAAUUUAUAAGUCUGAGCAGAUAGGAAUUGGAACAGAUCAGUUGCCUAAUAAAGUUAAUUAAUUAAGAUUAA